rnacentral:rRNA from 1 species
AAGCUCGUAGUUGAAUUUCGAACCUGGUUGGGUGGUCUGCCUUCACGGUACGUACUGCUUGGCCGGGUUCUACCUCUUGGUGAGCCGGCAUGCCCUUCACUGGGUGUGUCGGGGAACCAGGACUUUUACCUUGAGAAAUUAGAGUGUUCAAAGCAGGCCUUUGCCCGAAUACAUUAGCAUGGCAUAAUAAAAUAGGAUGUGCGGUUCUAUUUUGUUGGUUUCUAGAGUCGCCGUAAUGAUUAAUAGGGAUAGUUGGG